rnacentral:rRNA from 1 species
UACGAGGGGGGGCGAGCGUUGUUCGGAAUUAUUGGGCGUAAAGGGUGCGUAGGCGGUUUGGUAAGUCUUGUGUGAAAUCUACAGGCUCAACUUGUAGUCUGCACGAGAAACUGCCGGGCUUGAGUAUGGGAGAGGUGAGUGGAAUUCCUGGUGUAGCGGUGAAAUGCGUAGAUAUCAGGAGGAACACCGAUGGCGAAGGCAGCUCGCUGGGACGGUACUGACGCUGAGACGCGAAAGCGUGGGGAGCAAACAGG